UACGUAGGGGGCAAGCGUUGUCCGGAUUUAUUGGGCGUAAAGAGCGUGUAGGCGGCUUUGCAAGUCCGUUGUGAAAACUCGAGGCUCAACCUCGAGACGCCGGUGGAAACUGACAAAGCUAGAGUCCGGAAGAGGAGAGUGGAAUUCCUGGUGUAGCGGUGAAAUGCGCAGAUAUCAGGAAGAACACCCGUGGCGAAGGCGGCUCUCUGGGACGGUACUGACGCUGAGACGCGAAAGCGUGGGGAGCGAACAGG
rnacentral:rRNA from 1 species